AUUGAACGCUGGCGGCAUACCUUACACAUGCAAGUCGAACAGCAGCACGGGUGCUUGCACCUGGUGGCGAGUGGCGAACGGGUGAGUAAUAUAUCGGAACGUACCUUAUUGUGGGGGAUAACGCAGCGAAAGCUGUGCUAAUACCGCAUAAUCCCUAAGGGGGAAAGCGGGGGACCGUAAGGCCUCGCGCAAUUAGAGCGGCCGAUACCUGAUUAGCUAGUUGGUGAGGUAAAGGCUCACCAAGGCAACGAUCAGUAGCUGGUCUGAGAGGACGAUCAGCCACACUGGGACUGAGACACGGCCCAGACUCCUACGGGAGGCAGCAGUGGGGAAUUUUGGACAAUGGGGGCAACCCUGAUCCAGCAAUGCCGCGUGAGUGAAGAAGGCCUUCGGGUUGUAAAGCUCUUUUGUCAGGGAAGAAACAGCAGCUCUAACACAGUUUGCGAAUGACGGUACCUGAAGAAUAAGCACCGGCUAACUACGUGCCAGCCGCCGCAGUAA
rnacentral:rRNA from 1 species